GCCCCCAUAGCUCAGGUGGAUAGAGCUCAGGAUUCCUAAUCCUGGUGCCGUAGGUUCGAGUCCUACUGGGGGCG
rnacentral:tRNA from 1 species